AAAGCAGGGAUCCUUUGAGGGGUUUGAAAUUCAUGAAUGAGUUGCUCACGUGAGGCUCUGAGGGAACCACAGGUGUGACAAUUCCUCAUUUGAUCUCGGCAGGAAGGGAAGUGAGUAACGAGGUGCAUGUCUCUGAAACCAGAGUGCUGGGCUUUUCCAGCAGCCCCUUCUAGCCUGAUGUUCCUGGCUUGGUUUUUGCCAGCAGUGCCCUGCUUAACAGGGAAGGAGGCUUGUGAAGAGCCUGUUCUUUUUUGCCCUUGUGAAGGAAUGAGGCAGUCAUAGUCCCAAUAUUCUCUUAAGUACCUUCUCCUUGGUCUCCUGAGGGCAAAUUCUGGCUCACAUUGGUACCCAGAGGCUGUGAACCAAUGCUCCUGCUUCAGCCACGGAAGCCUGUGACUGCAAUUUGUGAUUCUAAGUGAGUUCUCGGAACAUAUCCCAGAACUCAGGGUGAUUGGCAGCUCAGUAAAAAGUGAGAGCUAGCCCAACUAUCCAUCAAACAAAUGAGUGAUACAAGCUGCUUGGGAAAUCAGUGAAGAGGAAUGCCAAUUUACGUGUUAUGUUUGAACACAAUGUGCAAGUCCCAACAAUGAAGAGCAGUCCCACAGAAGCACAGAGUUCGGUAGUUUUCAGAUCAGCCUCGUGGGCAAUGCAUCCUCCUGUCUUCAGAGUCAGUGGACAAGAGCAUGCAGAAAAGAAGGUGUGGAGCUGCACUCCAAAUCCCCUGGCUUCAGAGGAGCUGUGGAGAAAGCUGUGUAAUCAUAGAAUUACAAUUUAUAUUAUGGAGUGCAUGUGCCCAAGAAAUCUGAAAUAAUGGCAUAAGCAGAUGGCAAUUGGCAUUUAUUACUUUUGAGUGUUUGACUUUCACCAUUAAUCUUUUAAUGCAUGGGAGGGGAGCUUUGUGUUAAAUAGUCUACAAAAGCACUUUGGAGUUCUUCUGGAUUGUGCUUGCUGCUUAUUCUACUUUAAAAUAUUUGUAUAGUAUGAUUUGAUGGCUGAUGCUGCAUCACGUCACUUGAAAAUUUGAAACAAAAGAACCCCCUCUUUGCCAAAGUCCCUUUUGCAUUACCUUCUUCUCAGGCAAAGAAAGUCUCUAACUCUCCUUCUCUAAUCUUUCGUUUUCUUCUAAGCCUACAGUAAGUACUCUGACUAUUUGGCAUAUAAUGCUGAACUGGUGGGCAUUUGUAUAACCAGGAAUGUCUUUGUUCCAAGUGCUGAGUUAAAAGCAAAUGGCAACACCAAAAUAAUAUUCUUAAGUGUUCUACUGUGCAUCCAAAUAAAACUUAUUUUCUCUCUCUC